GGGUUUAAUACCGUAUACGCCCUUCGGGGGAAAGAAUUUCGGUGAGGGAUCGGCCCGCGUUAGAUUAGUUAGUUGGUGGGGUAAUGGCCUACCAAGACUACGAUCUAUAGCUGGUUUGAGAGGAUGAUCAGCAACACUGGGACUGAGACACGGCCCAGACUCCUACGGGAGGCAGCAGUGGGGAAUCUUAGACAAUGGGGGCAACCCUGAUCUAGCGAUGCCGCGUGAGUGAUGAAGGCCUUAGGGUCGUAAAGCUCUUUCGCCUGUGAUGAUAAUGACAGUAGCAGGUAAAGAAACCCCGGCUAACUCCGUGCCAGCAGCCGCGGUAAUACGGAGGGGGUUAGCGUUGUUCGGAAUUACUGGGCGUAAAGCGCACGUAGGCGGAUUAGUCAGUCAGAGGUGAAAUCCCAGGGCUCAACCCUGGAACUGCCUUUGAUACUGCUAGUCUUGAGUUCGAGAGAGGUAAGUGGAAUUCCGAGUGUAGAGGUGAAAUUCGUAGAUAUUCGGAGGAACACCAGUGGCGAAGGCGGCUUACUGGCUCGAUACUGACGCUGAGGUGCGAAAGUGUGGGGAGCAAACAGGAUUAGAUACCCUGGUAGUCCACACCGUAAACGAUGAAUGCCAGUCGUCGGGUAGCAUGCUAUUCGGUGACACACCUAACGGAUUAAGCAUUCCGCCUGAGGAGUACGGUCGCAAGAUUAA
rnacentral:rRNA from 1 species